rnacentral:rRNA from 1 species
UACAGAGGGUGCGAGCGUUAAUCGGAAUUACUGGGCGUAAAGCGCGCGUAGGCGGCUUUGUAAGUCGGUUGUGAAAUCCCCGGGCUUAACCUGGGAACUGCAUCCGAGACUGCAUGGCUAGAGUAUGGGAGAGGGAAGUGGAAUUUCAGGUGUAGCGGUGAAAUGCGUAGAUAUCUGAAGGAACAUCAGUGGCGAAAGCGACUUCCUGGACCAAUACUGACGCUCAUGUGCGAAAGCGUGGGGAGCGAACAGG